GGACUACUGGGGUAUCUAAUCCCGUUUGCUCCCCUGGCCUUCGUGCCUCAGCGUCAGGAACUCUCCAGAAACCCGCCUUCGCCACUGGUCUUCCUCACGAUAUCUACGCAUUUCACUGCUACACCGUGAAUUCCAGUUUCCUCUAGAGUCCUCUAGCACCACAGUAUCGAAUGCAGUUUCAGGGUUGAGCCCCGAGAUUUCACAUCCGACUUAUGGCGCCGCCUACGCACCCUUUACGCCCAAUGAAUCCGAACAACGCUUGGGACCUCUGUAUUACCGCGGCUGCUGGCAC
rnacentral:rRNA from 1 species